AUUGAACGCUGGCGGCAUGCCUUACACAUGCAAGUCGAACGGUAACGCGGGGCAACCUGGCGACGAGUGGCGAACGGGUGAGUAAUGCAUCGGAACGUGCCCAGUAGUGGGGGAUAGCCCGGCGAAAGCCGGAUUAAUACCGCAUACGACCUUCGGGUGAAAGGGGGGGAUCGCAAGACCUCUCGCUAUUGGAGCGGCCGAUGUCAGAUUAGGUAGUUGGUGGGGUAAAAGCCUACCAAGCCGACGAUCUGUAGCUGGUCUGAGAGGACGACCAGCCAUACUGGGACUGAGACACGGCCCAGACUCCUACGGGAGGCAGCAGUGGGGAAUUUUGGACAAUGGGCGCAAGCCUGAUCCAGCCAUGCCGCGUGCGGGAAGAAGGCCUUCGGGUUGUAAACCGCUUUUGUCAGGGAAGAAACGCUUCGAGCUAAUACCUCGGAGUAAUGACGGUACCUGAAGAAUAAGCACCGGCUAACUACGUGCCAGCCGCCGCAGUAA
rnacentral:rRNA from 1 species